rnacentral:rRNA from 1 species
GACGAACGCUGGCGGCGUGCUUAACACAUGCAAGUCGAACGGUGAAGCGCCUUCCUUUUUGGUGGGUGUGGAUGAGUGGCGAACGGGUGAGUAACACGUGAGUAACCUGCCCCCUUCUUCUGGAUAACCGCAUGAAAGUGUGGCUAAUACGGGAUAUUCUGGGUCUGUCGCAUGAUGGGUCUGGGAAAGAUAUUGUUUCGGUGGGGGAUGGGCUCGCGGCCUAUCAGCUUGUUGGUGGGGUGAUGGCCUACCAAGGCGGUGACGGGUAGCCGGCCUGAGAGGGUGGACGGUCACACUGGGACUGAGACACGGCCAAGACUCCUACGGGGGGCAGCAGUGGGGAAUAUUGCACAGUGGGCGCAAGCCUGAUGCAGCGACGCCGCGUGAGGGAUGGAGGCCUUCGGGUUGUGAACCUCUUUCGCCAGUGAAGCAGGCCUGCCUCGUUUGUGGGUGGGUUGACGGUAGCUGGAUAAGAAGCGCCGGCUAACUACGUG